UCCGGUGGUAAUAGCGAAGGGGAAACACCUCUUCCCAUUCCGAACAGAGAAGUUAAGCCCUUCAGCGCCGAUGGUACUGCCCUGGAAACGGGGUGGGAGAGUAGGACAUCACCGGGA
rnacentral:rRNA from 1 species